rnacentral:sRNA from 1 species
CAGUCGUUACUGGCCUGGUCACUAUGACCC